UACAGAGGGUGCGAGCGUUAAUCGGAAUUACUGGGCGUAAAGCGCGCGUAGGCGGCUUUGCAAGUCGGGUGUGAAAUCCCCGGGCUUAACCUGGGAAUUGCAUUCGAGACUGCAUUGCUGGAGUACGGAAGAGGAGGGCGGAAUUCCCGGUGUAGCGGUGAAAUGCGUAGAUAUCGGGAGGAACAUCAGUGGCGAAGGCGGCCCUCUGGUCCAGUACUGACACUCAAGUGCGAAAGCGUGGGGAGCAAACAGG
rnacentral:rRNA from 1 species